AUUUUACUCCCUCCGUCCGGAAAUACUUGUCAUCAAAAUGAAUAAAAGAUGAUGUAUCUAGAUGUAUUUUAGUUUUAGAUACAUUCUUUUUUGUCCAUUUUGAUGACAAGUAUUUUCGGACGGAGGGAGUACCAC
rnacentral:pre_miRNA from 1 species